AUUGAACGCUGGCGGCAGGCCUAACACAUGCAAGUCGAGCGAUGGGCGGAGGGGUGUGUAAUGUAUGGGACCGGCCCGAUAGAGGGGGAUAACUUCUGGAACCGUUGGCUAAUACCGCAUACUAUCGGAUAACACAGAUGGGAUUAGCUAGUGGGUGGGGUAAAGGCUCACCUAGGCGAAGAUCUCUAGCUGGUAUGAGAGGAUGAUCAGCCCCCCUGGGCUGGAGAAACGGCCCAGAUCCCUACGGAGGCAGAAUAGGGGAAUAUUGCACAAGGGGCGCAAGCCGGAUGAAGCCAUGCCGCGGGGUGGAAGAAGGCCUUAGGGUUGUAAAGUCCUUUCAUCGGGGAGGCGUUACCCACAGAAGAAGCACCGGCUAACUCCGUGCCAGCAGCCGCGGUAAUAC
rnacentral:rRNA from 1 species